AUUUUUUAUAGUUAUUGUGUUGUUUAACUUUCUUAUAAAAGAGAGUGAGGAAUUAAAAAGGUGGCCACCGAACAGAAAGUUAAACUGCAAUAUAUUAUAAUCAUUUUAGUUCUUGUUUACAUUUUUAACUGAUAAUUUAUUAGUGAUAAAUUAUGAAUAUAAAAUUUCAAAUUAAUUUAAAUUCAAAAAUAAAAGAACACCAACAUAGAUUUCUUAAACAUUAAAAUUUUACUAUAAGUUUAAAUUACAUUUAAUCAGCACAUUAGUUGAAGUUUUAUAGGAACCGAACAUUUGGCUGGAUCAUGGACUACCCACCGACGGAGAAUUUGUCACAAAGCUGAUGGGAAAUGUGUCGGCACUCGACUUCGUUUCACCCGGAGGAAGAUUAGCAGCAUCAAUAAGAAGCUCAUCUUAAUAUCAACUGUCCAAAGGAUUGUGAAGAAGAAGAAGUUGUCACAAAGUUGAUGGGAAAUGUGUCGGCACUCGGAUUCGUUUCAACCCGGAGGAAGAUUUGCAGCAUCAAAAAGAAAUUCAACUGAUAAUCAACCGUCAAAAGGUGAAGAAGAAGAAGUUGUCACAAAGCUGAUGGGAAAUGUGUCGGCACUCGGCUUCGUUUCAACCCGGAGGAAGAUUUGCAGCAUCAAAAAGAAAUUCAACUGAUAAUCAACCGUCAAAAGGUGAAGAAGAAGUUGUCACAAAGUUGAUGGGAAAUGUGUCGGCACUCGGAUUCGUUUCAACCCGGAGGAAGAUUUGCAGCAUCAAAAAGAAAUUCAACUGAUAAUCAACCGUCAAAAGGUGAAGAAGAAGUUGUCACAAAGCUGAUGGGAAAUGUGUCGGCACUCGGAUUCGUUUCAACCCGGAGGAAGAUUUGCAGCAUCAAAAAGAAAUUCAACUGAUAAUCAACCGUCAAAAGGUGAAGAAGAAGUUGUCACAAAGCUGAUGGGAAAUGUGUCGGCACUCGGCUUCGUUUCAACCCGGAGGAAGAUUGGCAGCAUCAAUAAGAAGCUCAUCUUAAUUUAGUUGUCCCCCCUUUACGCAUUAGCGCUCAUCUCUCAUCCACUCAUCCAACACAUUGACUAUCGCCGGCCGGCAACACACACAUAUUAUACACAUUACCCGUUUUAUAUUGUAUAAAAUUAUUAAUAUCUACAUAGUUUAAGUUAUUGUAUAUUUUUUUUUUUAUUAUUUGAAUGCAUUCAUAUGAUCUGUGGCGUAUUUAGGAAUUUUAGGAUAAGAGCAACACAUAUUUUGCCGCCUCCCCUCUAUUAAAAAAAAUUAAAAAACUUCUAUGCCACGCAAUGGUGAAACUGAUAAUACCAUAGAAUACCAUGUUAUAUAAAUACUAUAGUAUUUUAUACCUCCAUGGCACACAUUUGUUGUGAAAAAUAUUUAUGAUUGACGUCACUGCGACAGUACUCAUAAAGUACGAAAUAAAAAUUUGCUGCCCCUCUAAAUCUUUAAAAAUUUGCCGUUCUGGACAACUGGACCCAAAGCCCCUACCUAAAUACGCCCCUGCAUAUAAUGCGUUCGAUGUG